CUUGACUGAAGCCUUCUCAGUACAGGGACCUUUAAGGUCGGAGGCAAGAAGUUACAGGCCUCCACUGGGAGGUUUGGUUUCCAGGGUCCUUUGAUGGCUCAGAUGCUCUCCACGCUCAGUGAUAACCCUCCACACCAGGUCACCUCCAGCCCUUGGCUAUUUCAUGAGGAAGCACCUGGUGCUGGGCUCCUGUCUUUGUGGCACUGGCUCCUUUUAAACAUGUGGUCACCUCCCUCUGCUCACCCAUCCGUCUUCCACCCCCAGGAAGAUUUGGAGGCUUUGGAGGAAUUUAAGGAGUUCACACAGCUAAAGAGACUUGUUCCAGAGAACCUGCUUAUACCUGAACAGAUGGGUGAGGGCACAUGCAACCCAUGAUCCUCUCUCUGUCCCCAAAACAUGUGAACCAGAGAGUAACUAGAGCAUGGCGAACCAAGGCUCCAAAGAAGUCCAAGGCAGCGAGCACAGCCAGAAUCUCUGUCCUGUGGGAGGCGGAAAGAGUGCCCUGUUGGUCCCUCCGACUCUCCUCUCUCUCCUCAUCCUCCUCCCCAUCGCCUCAAUAAAGAGCUUCAGCAGGCCUGGUGACUCUGCCUGUGUGUGAGA
ensembl:lncRNA